rnacentral:rRNA from 1 species
AUUGAACGCUGGCGGCAGGCCUAACACAUGCAAGUCGAACGGUAACAGGAAACAGCUUGCUGUUUCGCUGACGAGUGGCGGACGGGUGAGUAAUGUCUGGGAAACUGCCUGAUGGAGGGGGAUAACUACUGGAAACGGUAGCUAAUACCGCAUAACGUCGCAAGACCAAAGAGGGGGACCUUCGGGCCUCUUGCCAUCGGAUGUGCCCAGAUGGGAUUAGCUAGUAGGUGGGGUAAAGGCUCACCUAGGCGACGAUCCCUAGCUGGUCUGAGAGGAUGACCAGCCACACUGGAACUGAGACACGGUCCAGACUCCUACGGGAGGCAGCAGUGGGGAAUAUUGCACAAUGGGCGCAAGCCUGAUGCAGCCAUGCCGCGUGUAUGAAGAAGGCCUUCGGGUUGUAAAGUACUUUCAGCGGGGAAGAAGGGAGUAAAGUUAAUACCUUGACUCAUUGACGUUACCCGCAGAAGAAGCACCGGCUAACUCCGUG